UAUCCGGCUCUGUAGACGGCCGACCCAGCCACACUGGGACUGAGACACGGCCCAGACUCCUACGGGAGGCAGCAGUGGGGAAUAUUGCACAAUGGGCGAAAGCCUGAUGCAGCGACGCCGCGUGAGGGAUGACGGCCUUCGGGUUGUAAACCUCUUUCAGCAGGGAAGAAGCCACAAGUGACGGUACCUGCAAAAGAAGCGCCGGCUAACUACGUGCCAGCAGCCGCGGUAAUACGUAGGGCGCAAGCGUUGUCCGGAAUUAUUGGGCGUAAAGAGCUCGUAGGCGGUUUGUCGCGUCUGCUGUGAAAGCCCGGGGCUUAACCCCGGGUGUGCAGUGGGUACGGGCAGACUAGAGUGCAGUAGGGGAGACUGGAAUUCCUGGUGUAGCGGUGGAAUGCGCAUAUAUCAGGAGGAACACCGAUGGCGAAGGCAGGUCUCUGGGCUGUUACUGACGCUGAGGAGCGAAAGCAUGGGGAGCGAACAGGAUUAGAUACCCUGGUAGUCCAUGCCGUAAACGUUGGGCACUAGGUGUGGGGGACAUUCCACGUUUUCCGCGCCGUAGCUAACGCAUUAAGUGCCCCGGCCGGGGGAGUACGGCCGCGAGGUUAAAACUCAAAGGGAUUGACGGGCGCCCGCACAAGCGGGGGA
rnacentral:rRNA from 1 species